UACGUAGGGCGCAAGCGUUGUCCGGAAUUAUUGGGCGUAAAGAGCUCGUAGGCGGUUUGUCGCGUCUGCUGUGAAAACUCGAGGCUCAACCUCGGGCUUGCAGUGGGUACGGGCAGACUAGAGUGCGGUAGGGGUGACUGGAAUUCCUGGUGUAGCGGUGAAAUGCGCAGAUAUCAGGAGGAACACCGAUGGCGAAGGCAGGUCUCUGGGCCGAUACUGACGCUGAGGAGCGAAAGCGUGGGGAGCGAACAGG
rnacentral:rRNA from 1 species